rnacentral:rRNA from 1 species
UAACGAAUAUUGGGCAAUGGGCGCAAGCCUGACCCAGCAAUGCCGCGUGCAGGAGGAAGCCCUUCGGGGUGUAAACUGCUGUCAGGGGUUCGCAAGCAAUGGACGUUAAUAGCGUCCGGCGUUGAGCAGCCCCAGAGGAAGCCUCGACUAACUCUGUGCCAGCAGUCGCGGUAAUACAGAGGAGGCAAGCGUUGUUCGGAAUCACUGGGCUUAAAGAGGGUGUAGGCGGCUUGGCAAGUGUCCUGUGAAAGCCCACGGCUCAACCGUGGAAUUGCAGGGCAAACUGCCCGGCUUGAGUUCGGUAGAGGUGCCUGGAACUCUCGGUGGAGCGGUGAAAUGCGUAGAUAUCGAGAGGAAUGCCGGAGGCGAAAGCGGGGCACUGGGCCGACACUGACGCUGAGACCCGAAAGCGUGGGGAGCAAACA